AGCGAACGCUGGCGGCAGGCCUAACACAUGCAAGUCGAACGACGUCUUCGGACUUAGUGGCAGAGGGGUGAGUAACACGUGGGAACGUAGCUAUUGGUUCGGAACAACUCAGGGAAACUUGAGCUAAUACCGGAUGCGCCCUUAGGGGGACAGAUUUAUCGCCGAAAGAGCGGCCCGCGGUAGAUUAGCUAGUUGGUGAGGUAAAGGCUCAUCAAGUCUACGACCUAUAGCUGGUCUGAGAGGAUGAUCAGCCACACUGGGACUGAGGCACGGGCCAGACUCCUACGGGGGGCAGCAGUGGGGAAUCUUUCGCAAUGGGCGAAAGUCUGACGCAGCCAUGCCGCGUGAAUGAUGAAGGUCUUAGGAUUGUAAAAUUCUUUUACCAGGGACGAUAAUGACGGUUCCUGGAGAAAUAGCCCCGUCUAACUUCGUACCGGCCGGCGCAGUAAAAC
rnacentral:rRNA from 1 species